GCCCUGGAGGCUGCUAUUAAUUACAAGAAUGAAAGUAUUCAGAGUCGCCAGUACUUGCUUAGAUCCUCUUCACAGAUCCUUUCACAGAGUGAGGAUAAUGCAAUAGGAAAACUAGUUUCCUUGUCUGCUGAUGAGCUCAGAGCUAUCCUCUUCAAAUACUUUAACAAGAACAAGAUGGUGAAGGUAUUGCAGAAACCUUGAAAGAGUAUGAAGUAAAAGUCCAGCAACUGGAAAAAGACUUCUUUUAUUCUAGAGAAAACCAGCAGAGAGCUGAAGAAGAAAUUGAAGGGCUUUUUUGGAGAGUCACCCCAUCAACUAAUGGCACCUACUAAAUAAACCGGGUGUUUAAGAAGGAAAUGCAGAGUUGCCUUUGUUUGGCACUCGAUGGUCUUGAGGUCUCUUCCAACGUAGACAUUCUGUGAUUCUGUGAAGUCACAAACGCCAAGGCAUCACACUGGCUGGCUCUGCAGCACAGAUGCCAGGAGUGCCGCUUGGCAUGGCGGCGGCGGCGCGGUGCCCCAGCCCCAGGCCCGUCCCAGCCCCAGCGCACAUUGCCCUCCGCUCCCCCAUGGAGCCCCCCGCCGCCUCAGCAGCCCUGCGGCGGACGCCCCAUGGCAGAGCCGCCCCCGAGGAGAAGGAGCCCGCAGCCCUCUGCCCACACCGCACCGCACUGCACCAAGCGCCGCGCAACGGCUGCCACCACCGCGGGGGCUCCUGGUGUGAGUGGCAAGCGGUGGCAAGGGGGGGCUGCGCUUCCUGAGUCGAGCUGCUGGACACCGGCUUGCCUGGGCAAUUGCCCAUGUUGCUGAGGAGGCAACAGAGCCAAAGCCCUUGGGGCUGAAGAUCCAGCACAGCUGGGGAGGCUUUGGCAUUUCUGCACAAUGCUGCUCAAUCCUGCUUGGGAGCCCAGCCUCAGGUGCGGAAUGAAGCCAAGCAAGCUCGAGGGAAACUGUGUGCUGAAUCCCAGACUGCGUAUUAGAGCUGAUCUUCAUCUCUGCUCGGAAAAGCUUCACGGGCCAAAAGAGAAUGGAGAUGAGGAAGGCAAUGGAGAAUGAUGAGGACUAUUUGCAGUCAGCACCCCAACUUCUGCCUUGGCUCUUCCCAUCAAGCCAGAGCAGUUUCUUGGCCUGCGCAACCUGCAGACUGACCUCUCGUGUGUAUCCGUGCUGGACUGAGGGUAUCAAGAGAAGAAGGCAUUUGCUUCAGAGGACAGUACUUUGAUGCUUUCCAGGGCUAAUGGCCAAAGUUCUCAAAGCACUUUUUUUUUCUUUUUUUUUUUUUCCCCAUCAGUGAUUUAUACAUUUGUCAAUCUUUCCAUCUUCAUUUACAACUCCGAAUUUAGGUUUUAGGUGAACAAGAACCCUGAAACCAGCUGAAGCCAUAUCAGACAUGAAGCCAUAUCAGACAUAGUAAGGACAUGUGUCUGUGAGGAAGUAAUUCAGAGUGAUUCUCUGGUGUCCUUUGGACAGCUUUCCUCUGGUCCUCUGCACUAAGCAUCCCCAAGGGAUAUUUCAAAGCUCUCGGAAUGAUCUGUCAUUCUCUCUUCCACUAGAGUCUCCAUUAGAAAAGCGUGACUAUUCCUUGCCCAUGUGGAAAAGAAGUCCUCCUUGCGUUGUUUCUAAGCAAAACCUCUUUCUUGUGUUCUAUGGACAGAAACCACUUGGCUAGACAAACUCAAUCAUUGCAAAUGGAAGGAGUGGAACUACUUCAGCACCGUGCUUCGGCUUCUAAGCAGAACUGUAAUGUAGGUGGGGACGUAGCAAGAGGACAUGGCCAAGCCAGGGUGGACUUGAAAGUGCCGUGUCCGAGCCACAGCAAGAAGUCCGUGAUUGCCCCUUGGAGACUGCUGCUCACCUAGUAGCACAGCAGCUGGAACGCUUCUGGAUACUGCUGAUGGAUUGCCACGAAUCAGGCAGUGACACAAGCUACGAGAACGACGGAAGUGACUGGAAGUGAUGCUUCUCCCUGUUCUCCAUUGCAAUUUGUGAAAGAAAGGAGAAGAGAGGAGAAGAAGAAAGGAGAAGACGGGAGGGAAGGGGAGGGAAUGAAGAGAACGGGA